AGAGUUUGAUCCUGGCUCAGGAUGAACGCUGGCGGCGUGCUUAACACAUGCAAGUCGAACGAGCCUUCGGGCUAGUGGCGGACGGGUGAGUAACGCGUGAGAAUCUGCCCUCAGGAGGGGGAUAACGGCUGGAAACGGCCGCUAAUACCCCAUAUGCCGCGAGGUGAAAUGAGAAAUCGCCUGAGGAUGAGCUCGCGUCUGAUUAGCUAGUUGGUGGGGUAAGAGCCUACCAAGGCAUCGAUCAGUAGCUGGUCUGAGAGGAUGAUCAGCCACACUGGGACUGAGACACGGCCCAGACUCCUACGGGAGGCAGCAGUGGGGAAUUUUCCGCAAUGGGCGCAAGCCUGACGGAGCAACGCCGCGUGAGGGAUGAAGGCCUCUGGGCUGUAAACCUCUUUUCUCAAGGAAGAAGAACUGACGGUACUUGAGGAAUAAGCCACGGCUAAUUCCGUGCCAGCAGCCGCGGUAAUACGGGAGUGGCAAGCGUUAUCCGGAAUUAUUGGGCGUAAAGCGUCCGCAGGCGGUCUUGAAAGUCUGUUGUUAAAGCGUGGAGCUCAACUCCAUUUCAGCAAUGGAAACUAGAAGACUAGAGUGUGGUAGGGGCAGAGGGGAUUCCCGGUGUAGCGGUGAAAUGCGUAGAUAUCGGGAAGAACACCAGUGGCGAAGGCGCUCUGCUGGGCCAUAACUGACGCUCAUGGACGAAAGCCAGGGGAGCGAAAGGGAUUAGAUACCCCUGUAGUCCUGGCCGUAAACGAUGAACACUAGGUGUCGGGGGAAUCGACCCCCUCGGUGUCGUAGCCAACGCGUUAAGUGUUCCGCCUGGGGAGUACGCACGCAAGUGUGAAACUCAAAGGAAUUGACGGGGGCCCGCACAAGCGGUGGAGUAUGUGGUUUAAUUCGAUGCAACGCGAAGAACCUUACCAGGGUUUGACAUCCUGCGAAUCUUUUGGAAACAGAAGAGUGCCUUCGGGAGCGCAGAGACAGGUGGUGCAUGGCUGUCGUCAGCUCGUGUCGUGAGAUGUUGGGUUAAGUCCCGCAACGAGCGCAACCCACGUCUUUAGUUGCAGGCAUUAAGUUGGGCACUCUAGAGAGACCGCCGGUGGUAAACCGGAGGAAGGUGUGGAUGACGUCAAGUCAUCAUGCCCCUUACAUCCUGGGCUACACACGUACUACAAUGCUACGGACAGAGGGCAGCAAACUCGCGAGAGCUAGCAAAUCCCAUAAGCCGUGGCUCAGUUCAGAUCGUAGGCUGCAACUCGCCUACGUGAAGGAGGAAUCGCUAGUAAUCGCAGGUCAGCAUACUGCGGUGAAUACGUUCCCGGGCCUUGUACACACCGCCCGUCACACCAUGGAAGUUGGCCAUGCCCGAAGUCGUUACUCCAACCCUUGUGGAGGAGGACGCCGAAGGUGGGGCUGAUGACUGGGGUGAAGUCGUAACAAGGUA
rnacentral:rRNA from 1 species